rnacentral:lncRNA from 1 species
AGUGAUAUUUGAAUAUUAUUAAAUAAUAAAAUAUUUCAACAAGUUCUUGUUGGAAAACCUCGUUUAUGCAAAGAUAAAUAUUACAACCGAACAUAGUUAAGGUUCUUGUGAUCAAACCUUAACCAUGAAAAUAAAUACGGCUACAUUCAAUCCAUCACACAACCAGAACAGUUUACUCCACUACACCAAUUCAAAAGCCAAUACGCACGAACAUAAUGCUCCAAGCAGAAGAAGUUGAUGGGAAAUUAAAAGAAAGAGUAGAAACCAUCCAAUAUAUAAAAUAACCAAGGUCAGAAUUAAUUCAACCAAUAUCUUAAUAAAUAAAGUUUCAAAGCGACGCAAUUUCGAUAAUUUAAAAUACUAGUUUCGUCAAUAUAAAAAUAAAGAGACAUCCUUUAAAAAAAAAAUACAAAGUAAACUCUUAUGAUUUCAUCAAACGCUCAAUCGACCUCAAAAUUAAAACCGUAUACAUGAGUUCUCUAUUUAAUCAUAAGGUAUUCAAAAUUCUAUCAAAACAACUUAUAAUCUUGGACUUUCUUUUUUUGUCAAGUAGCCCGGUGGCUAGAGCUCACACAAUUUAAUUGUGGAGAAGUGGGGUGUCCGGGGUUCGAACCUCGGCCCCUACAUAUAAUAUGCAAUAUCCCUACCAACUGAGCUAAGCUCACGAGGAAGUUUAGACUUUCUACUAAACUUAAUUCUACUGAUAUUUCUACUUAUCCUACUAAUAACUAUUUAAGGUCUUCACCAAAAUUUAACAUCAACCAUACUCUCCAUUAAUAAUUCCCAACAAGUUAUCCCCAACAAAAGCAUCACUUCAAGGAUUAAAGUUCAAUCAACAUCAAAGUCUACACGUUAUCAAAAUCCAAAGAAAAUUCUUUAUUUCUAUGUUACUCUAAAUUUA